rnacentral:rRNA from 1 species
CCUACGGGGUGCUGCAGUGGGGAAUAUUGGACAAUGGGCGAAAGCCUGAUCCAGCCAAGCCGCGUGUGUGAAGAAGGCCUUCGGGUUGUAAAGCACUUUCAGUGGGGAAGAAAGCCUUGGGGCUAAUACCCUCGAGGAAGGACAUCACCCACAGAAGAAGCACCGGCUAACUCCGUGCCAGCAGCCGCGGUAAUACGGAGGGUGCGAGCGUUAAUCGGAAUUACUGGGCGUAAAGCGCGCGUAGGCGGUCUGAUAAGCCGGUUGUGAAAGCCCCGGGCUCAACCUGGGAACGGCAUCCGGAACUGUCAGGCUAGAGUGCAGGAGAGGAAGGUAGAAUUCCCGGUGUAGCGGUGAAAUGCGUAGAGAUCGGGAGGAAUACCAGUGGCGAAGGCGGCCUUCUGGACUGACACUGACGCUGAGGUGCGAAAGCGUGGGUAGCAAACAGGAUUAGAUACCCUAGUAGUC